rnacentral:rRNA from 1 species
UACGUAGGGUCCGAGCGUUGUCCGGAGUUACUGGGCGUAAAGCGCGCGCAGGCGGCGGUGCUGGCCCGGCGUGAAAGCCCCCGGCUCAACCGUGGAAGUGCCUUGGAUACCGGCGGCCUCGAGGGAGGUAGGGGCGUGCGGAACUUCGGGUGGAGCGGUGAAAUGCGUAGAUAUCCGAAGGAACACCGGUGGCGAAAGCGGCGCGCUGGAUCUCUUCUGACGCUGAGGCGCGAAAGCCAGGGGAGCAAACGGG